rnacentral:rRNA from 1 species
GACGAACGCUGGCGGCGUGCUUAACACAUGCAAGUCGAACGAUGAAGCCUAGCUUGCUAGGUGGAUUAGUGGCGAACGGGUGAGUAAUACGUGAGUAACCUACCUUUAACUCUGGGAUAAGCCUGGGAAACUGGGUCUAAUACCGGAUACGACCAAUCUCCGCAUGGGGUGUUGGUGGAAAGCGUUAUGUAGUGGUUAUAGAUGGGCUCACGGCCUAUCAGCUUGUUGGUGAGGUAACGGCUCACCAAGACGACGACGGGUAGCCGGCCUGAGAGGGUGACCGGCCACACUGGGACUGAGACACGGCCCAGACUCCUACGGGAGGCAGCAGUGGGGAAUAUUGCACAAUGGGCGCAAGCCUGAUGCAGCGACGCCGCGUGAGGGAUGACGGCCUUCGGGUUGUAAACCUCUGUUAGCAGGGAAGAAGAGAAAUUGACGGUACCUGCAGAGAAAGCGCCGGCUAACUACGUG